rnacentral:rRNA from 1 species
CCUACGGGCGGCAGCAGUGAGGAAUAUUGGUCAAUGGGCGCAAGCCUGAACCAGCCAAGUCGCGUGAGGGAUGACGGUCCUAUGGAUUGUAAACCUCUUUUGUCGGGGAGCAAGGCCCGCCACGUGUGGCGGGAAGGAGAGUACCCGAAGAAAAAGCAUCGGCUAACUCCGUGCCAGCAGCCGCGGUAAUACGGAGGACGCGAGCGUUAUCCGGAUUUAUUGGGUUUAAAGGGUGCGUAGGCGGAAGGUUAAGUCAGCGGUAAAAUGUCGGUGCUCAACACCGGCCUGCCGUUGAAACUGGUCUUCUUGAGUGAGCGAGAAGUAUGCGGAAUGCGUGGUGUAGCGGUGAAAUGCAUAGAGAUCACGCAGAACACCGAUUGCGAAGGCAGCAUACCGGCGCUCAACUGACGCUGAGGCACGAAAGCGUGGGGAUCGAACAGGAUUAGAUACCCCUGUAGUC